UACGGAAGGCAGCAGUGGGGAAUAUUGCACAAUGGGCGCAAGCCUGAUGCAGCCAUGCCGCGUGUAUGAAGAAGGCCUUCGGGUUGUAAAGUACUUUCAGUCGUGAGGAAGGUGUUAAGGUUAAUAACCUUAGCAAUUGACGUUAGCGACAGAAGAAGCACCGGCUAACUCCGUGCCAGCAGCCGCGGUAAUACGGAGGGUGCGAGCGUUAAUCGGAAUUACUGGGCGUAAAGGGCACGCAGGCGGUUAAUUAAGUUGGAUGUGAAAUCCCCGGGCUUAACCUGGGAAUGGCAUUCAAGACUGGUUAGCUAGAGUCUUGUAGAGGGGGUAGAAUUCCAUGUGUAGCGGUGAAAUGCGUAGAGAUGUGGAGGAAUACCGGUGGCGAAGGCGGCCCCUGGACGAAAGACUGACGCUCAUGUGCGAAAGCGUGGGGAGGCAAACAAGGGAUUAGAU
rnacentral:rRNA from 1 species